AUUUCUAAGCUUAAGAUUUUUAUUUCUAUAUUCUGCGUGUCGAAAACUGUAAUAAUAUAUAUAAAAAAAAAGUCAAUAAUUUUAUGUCCCCUAAAGUAAAGUACAACAUCUGGUACAGCCAAUUAUUUUAUUUUGUUCUUCAUCAGCAUUCCAUGUACAUUUUUCGUAAUAUAUCUAAAUAUGUGACAAUAUGAUCUCAAUGUCACUAUUAUGUCAAAAAUAUCAUACUUUACCAAAUAUGAGUACAUUUUUCAAAAUUCGCCGCAUAUUUUCUUUUUUCUCUAAAAAAAAUAUAGUUUUUGUCUAUACUAACGUGGAACCAAACACAGGGCAGAUCCCUAAUUUUCUGGUUCUUGUAUAUGCUAGCGUCGAUCAGCUUCAGCACUUGACCGCAUGGUGCAUCACCUGUACUGUGAAAUUAGAACAUUUUCUGUCUCCUAUUGGCCAUCGACUAGCAACACAAGCAACGUUCAAGUAUUAUUAACCGACAGCCAGUAGCUACAGCCGCAGUAAUUACGUUUUGUAUAUUAUCGACUUGUCUCGUUGGAUGGAAUAUAAUUAAUAAUAACUUUCCUUAUUAUUUACUAGGAAAGAAUAUACAUGUUAGUAGUAUAUGCAAAUAAUAAAAAAACAUGAUUAAUUUUAUGUAUAACUGUAUUUUAUUAUACAUAACCUUUAACCUUAACUUUCCAUCGUUUUGAAGUAUCAACUUUAUCAUUUGAUAGUAGGGAAGUAAUAAAACUUCGGAGGAUAAUAAAAUGAUCUGAAUAUAUAAUAAAAAAAUGUUAUCUCAUUCUAUAUAGAACUACAUCACUUGUAAUUAGAAACUAGAGAAAUGAUAACGCUCUUUUUGUCCCAUUAUAUUUUCCAGCUUUAUUAUCUUAUACUAUGAACUAAAUAAAUUGCAGUUAAAAUCCUCAUUAUGCUACAGACAAAAAUAUGAUCUAAUAUUUACAAAUGAGGUGUGUAACGCAAGCUUAACAAUAAGUUUUCAAAAAUUUGAUAUUAUAUCGACAAGUUCAUUACAAGACGGCACAGUAUGUGGAUAUACCUUAUCAUCCACUCUCAUUAAAAAUUAUCAACAAUUACAAGACGGUUCUUCACAGUGCACACCAAGUCUAUAUCGUAGAAAUUACUUUACUGUAUAGAAAUAUCCAGCCACGCUGCAAUAUAUUAUGCUGUGCCCUAUUGUAAGAAAUUGGUUGUUCUCCUUUGCGCAACAGAUAACAAAAUUAUAUGUAUCUGUUUACGAAAUCCGUUGAAAAAAGUCUAAGAUCCAUUGUCAUUCAAUUUAAUUGUUCGUCACACUAUUUACAUGUAAUUAGUUACCUAAAAGUAGCGGUAAAAUAGGUAACAUCUAUUCUAUAGUAGAAUUAAUUAUAUGAAUAGUUUCAAAAAAUUUUUUUUUUCUUCAAAUUAACAUUAUAAAUCAGAAAGCAGAAUGGAACUUGAAAUGCUAGUUAAUUUAAUAGCAACGCGUUAGAAUACGAAAUGAAUGUCAUGUACACAGUUAUAUGAGAUAUCCUUGUGGUGAAUGAAUAUGGUUGUUAUCACUAUAUGAUUUCUCGUUUAGAAACGUUUACCAUUGUCACUUUUAUGGCAUGAUAUACUCCUUAUUCUAUGUUACAUGUAUGAUAAGAUACUUGACUGCGUUUAAAAUGAUACAAUUACAUAGAGACACUUGGCAAAAAAUGAAACUUCGUACAGCAAGUACAUAAACAGAAUAGGGAUGUAUGAGACAUUAAAUGAGUGUGUCAUUUUACUAUUGUUCGUUCUUAACGUUCUUUUUCCCCCUUUUCCAUUACAUUAUCGUAAAAUUAACACGCAGAUAUUGUAAAUUAAUCGUCAGUACAAGUUUAGUGUUUCUUUCCCUUUCCUCUUUAUUUUAAUUAGAUUUACCACUUCAUUCUUCGAAAUUAUUUUACAUAUUCGAAUCAAUAGGAAUUUAUGGAAGAAUUCAUUAACAUCGGUUUUAUUAACGUAAGGUCUACAAAAAUUAUUGCGUGUUACAUUUUGUUUACACCUUUAACGUUAGUUAAUGUUGGAUCCUUUGUUUACAAUUUACACGCAUCAAUAAGUUAUGGCAAUUCGUAGGAUAGCUUUCAAAUAAUAUAUUUAACAUUCGCCAUAUUCUAUGUAGGACGGCCAGUUGAAAACCUUUUAUACAUCUCCUUCUUGUCAAAGGAUUAAAAGACAUUUUUAGCUCGAAACUGUUUUCCCUCCGAGAGCAAAUUAAACAUUCUCACGUGUGAAGUAGAUUUCUUCUUAACUUUCAAUCGUUUUUGAAAUUUCACGCAGUUUCUAGAUACACAGGGAGAAAAAAGGAAAAAAAAGAAAAGAAAAGAAAAGAAA